GAGAGGUGGGUUCGGCCCCUCAGCGGUUGCACUUCCUAGGUCUGUGCGGCCCAGCGCGACAGGAACCUGCGCUGUGCUGUUGUUUCUCAGACUAUUUUUAGGAAUAGGCGGAUCGGCGCGUUCAGGUAACAAUUGAUGAUGAAUGAUCCAUGUCUUCAAGAAUGCAAGUAACACUGUAGAGAGAGGAAAGCUCAUCAGUGGCCAUGUAAGUGUAUGAACUGCCCAGACAUGUUCUUCAGAUUCUGGAAGGGAGUGUUCUAGUAUAUUUCACCAUCACCUUUACAGGAUGGAAGCCAUCAGUUUGUCCCAUGGUAAGUUUUGCUCAUGCAUUGUGUGCUCCUUGUAUAGAAAGCAUUAAGUGUUGGUGCACUGGGCUUGAACAGUCAUGCUGCCAGUUCAGGGGUGCU
rnacentral:lncRNA from 1 species